GUGACUGCGUACCUUUUGUAUAAUGGGUCAGCGACUUAUAUUCUGUAGCAAGGUUAACCGAAUAGGGGAGCCGAAGGGAAACCGAGUCUUAACUGGGCGUUAAGUUGCAGGGUAUAGACCCGAAACCCGGUGAUCUAGCCAUGGGCAGGUUGAAGGUUGGGUAACACUAACUGGAGGACCGAACCGACUAAUGUUGAAAAAUUAGCGGAUGACUUGUGGCUGGGGGUGAAAGGCCAAUCAAACCGGGAGAUAGCUGGUUCUCCCCGAAAGCUAUUUAGGUAGCGCCUCGUGAAUUCAUCUCCGGGGGUAGAGCACUGUUUCGGCAAGGGGGUCAUCCCGACUUACCAACCCGAUGCAAACUGCGAAUACCGGAGAAUGUUAUCACGGGAGACACACGGCGGGUGCUAACGUCCGUCGUGAAGAGGGAAACAACCCAGACCGCCAGCUAAGGUCCCAAAGUCAUGGUUAAGUGGGAAACGAUGUGGGAAGGCCCAGACAGCCAGGAUGUUGGCUUAGAAGCAGCCAUCAUUUAAAGAAAGCGUAAUAGCUCACUGGUCGAGUCGGCCUGCGCGGAAGAUGUAACGGGGCUAAACCAUGCACCGAAGCUGCGGCAGCGACA
rnacentral:rRNA from 1 species